rnacentral:piRNA from 1 species
UGCUAUGAUCUGGCUUUAAUGAUAAU